CGGAGGAAAAGAAACUAACCAGGAUUCCCUCAGUAGCGGCGAGCGAAGCGGGAUUAGACCAAGCUGAAAAUCUCCAUGGGAGAAUUGUAGCAUGGGUAUUCUUGGGGUAUUCAGUAAACGUAAGUCGCAUGGAAUUGCGUACCACGGAGGGUGAGAGUCCCGUCCAGCGUUUACAGGAAUUUCCCGUACAAGAAUGCUUCAACCGAGUCGGGUAGCUUGAGAUCGCUGCUCUAAUAGGUGGUAAACUUCAUCUAAGUCUAAAUACUGGUGAGAGACCGAUAGCGAACAAGUACCGUGAGGGAAAGAUGGAAAGCACUUUGAAAAGAGGGUGAAAAGCACUUGAAACCGCCACGGGGGAAGCGGAUUGCGUCAGUGUGGUGCGGUGUCUGUUCAGCUACUUUUUAGGUAGUGUAUUCAGCACUAGCUUUGUCGGUAUGGCUGUUUUACUUUGGAUUUUGCAAAGUGGAAUGGUGAGGGCUCCCUUCGGGUUGAGGAUAUCGACGAAAUGACGCGAUUCGACCCGUCUUGAAACACGGACCAAGGAGUCUAGCACUACUGCGAGUCGAAGGGUGUAAAAACCUAUAGGCGCAGUGAAAGCGAACAUUGAGAAAUCUGAUACAGAUUAAGGAGGUGUUGAGUCAUUGACGAAAUAUCCUACCUAGAGCAGUAGUGCUGGGACCCGAAAGAUGGUGAACUAUGCCGGAAUAGGGCAAAGCCAGAGGAAACUCUGGUGGAGGCUCGUAGCGAUGCUGACGUGCAAAUCGCUCGUCGAAUUUGGGUAUAGGGGCGAAAGACUAAUCGAACCAUCUAGUAGCUGGUUCCCUCCGAAGUUUCUCUCAGGAUAGCGGGCCGACGAUGUGGGUUGUUUUGUGUGGUAAAGCGAAUGAUUAGCGUAUUUGGGGGUGAAAUACCUUCGGUCGAUUCUCAAACUUUAAAUACGCAAGAUAGAGAUGGUUGCUUAAUUGAACCUCUCUACUGAAAACGUCGGCCCUGUGGGCCACUUUUGGUAAGCAGAACUGGCGAUAUGGGAUGAACCAUUAGCGUGGUUAAGGCGUCUAAAUAACCGCUUACAGAUCCCACAAAAGGUGUUGGUUCAUCCAGACAGCAGGACGGUGGCCAUGGAAGUCGGAAUCCGCUAAGGAGUGUGUAACAACUCACCUGCCGAAUGAACUAGCCCUGAAAAUGGAUGACGCUUAAGCGGUUUGCCGACACCACGCCGUUUUGACAAUAUGCGAUCAAAAUGAGUAGGAGGGCGUGGCGGUUUGUUGGGAAGAUUAAGACGCAAGUCUAAUUUGAACAGCCGCUAGUGCAGAUCUUGGUGGUAGUAGCAAAUAUUCAAGCGAGAUCCUUGAAGGGCGAAGCGGGGAAGGGUUCCACGCGAACAUUGAUUGGGCGUGGGUGAGUCGUUCCUAAGCCGGGUGGUAAUCGUUCUUCGAUCGGCGAAAGGGAAGCGGGUUAAAAUUCCCGCACACGGAUGUGAAAGCGGUGACGCAAGUUGAGGUGGAGACGUCAGUGGUGGCGCUAGGCAGAGUUCUCUUUUCUGUUUGACCUGUGAGUGCACGCUGUGGAAACCGAUUAUCGGGAGAAACAGGUGCUAAUGGGCAGAGCGUCGGGGUGUCCCCGGCGUCUAGCACGCCACCAAUGACCCUUGAAAAUCCAUCUGCAAUUACAUUUCACGCCGUGGCGUACCGAUAACCGCAUCAGGUCCCCAAGGUGAACAGCCUCUGCUCAAUAUGAACAAUGCAGGUAAGGGAAGUCGGCAAAAUAGACCCGUAACUUUGGGAAAAGGGUUGGCUCUAGUGGAGUGGGGGAUUUUUAAAUGGGUCUCAGUGUUUGUCGGCUUGCUGGCUAGGAAGGCUAAACUGAGGCAACUUGGUUUUCGGCUGACUCGUGCCGGCGAGUUUGGGGAUAUUGGGCUCCGCCUCCAGCAUACUCUAGACUAGAACUGCAACGGGCAAAGGGAAUCCGACUGUUUAAUUAAAACAAAGCAUUGCGAUGGCCGAGGUCGGUGUAGACGCAAUGUGAUUUCUGCUCAGUGCUCUGAAUGUCAAAGUGAAGAGAUUCAAACAAGCGCGGGUAAACAGCGGGAGUAACUAUGACUCUCUUAAGGUAGCCAAAUGCCUCGUCAUCUAAUUAGUGACGCGCAUGAAUGGAUUAACGAGAUUCCUACUGUCCCUAUCUGCUUCUAGCGAAACCACAGCCGAGGGAACGGGCUCGGCAAAACCGGCGGGGAAAGAAGACCCUGUUGAGCUUGACUCUAUUCUAGCUUUGUGACGCAAGUUAGGAGGUGUAGCAUAGGUGGGAGACUUCGGUCGCCAAUGAAAUACCACUACUCUUAAUCUUGUUUUACUUAUAGCGUAAGACUGCACGACCUUUAUGGUCUAUUCUGGCAUCAACCCAGGUUAUGGCAUACACCGUGUUUACAUGGCAAUGUCUCUGGGAAGCAGCGCGCAAGACACAUUUAGGAGGGGAGUUUGGCUGGGGCGGCACAUCUUCUACAAGACAACGAAGGUGUCCAAAGAUGAGCUCAGUGAGAACAGAAAUCUCACGUAGCGCAAAAGGGUAAAAGCUUGUUUGAUUUUGAUUUUCAGUGUGAGUUAAAAACGCGAAAGCGUGGCCUAUCGAUCCUUUCAAUAUUCGGAGUUUGAAGUGAGAGGUGUCAGAAAAGUUACCACAGGGAUAACUGGCUUGUGGCGGCCAAGCGUUCAUAGCGACGUCGCUUUUUGAUCCU
rnacentral:rRNA from 1 species